rnacentral:rRNA from 1 species
UACGGGGGGAGCAAGCGUUGUUCGGAUUUACUGGGCGUAAAGGGCGCGUAGGCGGCGCGACAAGUCACUUGUGAAAUCUCCGGGCUUAACUCGGAGCGGCCAAGUGAUACUGUCGUGCUAGAGUGCGGAAGGGGCAACUGGAAUUCUCGGUGUAGCGGUGAAAUGCGUAGAUAUCGAGAGGAACACCUGCGGCGAAGGCGGGUUGCUGGACCGACACUGACGCUGAUGCGCGAAAGCGUGGGGAGCGAACAGG